ensembl:lncRNA
UGAAGACAUAUUGCAAUUAGCUUUUCAGUAAUUCCGUGGUUGAAACUAACAUUCUCAACCAUUUAAUCCAUAAUAAUUUUUCCACUAAAUGAAGUAGAAACUCAAAGUGACUCACAAAUAUCCAUCAUUCCUUGUGCCAGAAUAACGGACUUUGAGAGAUACUUUCAUGCAUUUGGUCAGACUACAAAUCUACCCAGUAUCAGAUAUCAGACUUUAAUAUGCAUACUUGAAAGUAUGCAAAGAUUUAAAUUUGCUGCUUGUUUUGCUUAUAGUGUGUUCAUCUCCUCUACUGCACAAGAAGAAGAAUCUGGAAUUAGCUUACUGGACAACAGACUGGUGAAUGCAAUGCUGUGAAGUUGUAUGGGAUGAAAAGUAGUACUCCUGGGACCCUGAAUAAUUCUUAGGAUCUCACUGGCCACGAAGUUCCCCAUUUAGGCAUGAAUUCAGCUCAGUGCCACUGAAUUCUUGACACCCAGAGCAAUUGAUAUUGGACUUUCCCCUCUCCUACUGUGUUUGGUAUCAAUGCCUCAUCUAUUUAUGAUAGUGUACGUACAAAAAUAAUCCAAUCUCUGACUCAGAGUGAGAUGCUUCAGAAACUCACAAUAUAUUUUUGCCAUUGCAUGUUUAGAUUCCUGCCUCUUUCAUCACCCACAGCAACAAGCUCCAGUGUGAGUCUUCUCAAAUGAGCAAGUGAGCAUGCUUGAGAGAUUGUUGUGUUUAAGACAGGUUGAAAUUCAAGCUGAAUCAAGCCAAUUUUACUGUCAUCUUUUAACAGAUGUAGAAAUAAAAAACUGUGCAUGAAACACAGGUGAACUAUACGAGGCUGGAUGCUUCUUUUUCAUAUAUAUUUAUGACAUUCGCUAUAUAUCAAAACGGAGAUACAGCGAUAGAUCAGCUUAUUGUAAUAUCUAGGUAUGAAAUAUGUUCCUUUUUAUAAUUACUUAGUUCUAUUUAUCAUUUCAAGGCAGUUAUAUAUGCAGUGACAUCACUAAUUUAAUAGAUAACUGGAAGAGAAAAAUGUUUCUAAUUUCAUCUAAUCAUGAAUACCUCCUGGUUACUCAUCUAGUGACAGCAAAGGAAUAGCAUUAUUUUCUUUUAAAGAUGAGAGAUUCAAUGUAUUCUGACAAAACAUGGCUAGUUUUGCCACACUGAAACCAUCAUUACCAUAUAUAUUUCCAGUCUGCUUUUCCAUAACUGACAGCUCCGAGACGACCUGUGUUAAGAGCAGCCGUAGAUAAUAGCCACAGUAAGGCUACCUUGUGUUGUAUUGAGUUAUCCCUGCCCCUUGUUACUGUGGUAUUCACCCUUUUGUGAAUCAGUAAAAUAAAAUACCUUUAACUGUUGACUGAAGGCUUAACAUUUCUAGAAGUAUCAAGAUUUAACCACGUCUAUUAAAGCCGACUGCAAUGUUUCACACUACCCAAAUGCCUAUUCUGUGCUUUCCUAGUGGUUAAAAAGACCAAGGGAAGAAACAGACAAGUUCCAAUGUACUGAGCUUCCUGUCAUCUGGCUGGAUGAAAGGGCACACUGAUAGAUUGUGAAAUAUAUUUCUUAUAAAUCUUUUAACAAGGAAGGCAGGAGAUGCAAUAGCUUUUAGACUACACUUUAAACCAACUUAGAAGCAAAAUGAAUAGCACAUUUCUGACACAGUAUAAGGAAAGAAAAUGCAAAUUCUGCAAACCUCUGGAUAUUUAGUAAUUCACCCAGCUCUGCACUCUUUUUAAAUGUUGAAUUAACUAUGUACAUGGAAUUCUGAUUAACCUUUAGAUUGCUGCCAACGUUUUUCUACACUUGUGUUUGCUUUGGUUAGAUUUCUGUCAUGGAAAAAAUGUUUCACAUAUCAAAUAUCUGUGUCUGCUAUUAUAAUUUUCUGCAAUUAUCCUAAACUGAGUGACUCCAAAGUGAUUUUGCUACCUGAAAAAUAUGACUUCAAAGUAAAUUUAAUGACAUUUUUAUAGCAGGAAAACAUAAAACUCGGAAGUACAAGUGGCCAACUUGCAACUGUAAAGAAAGUAGAGCAAAUCCCAUCUUCUGAGUACAAGAAAAUUAAUGAUUAAUUGUCAGUAAACAGCCAAUUUUCCAAGGGAGCUGUUCUAGACAUACUAGAGUGCUCUGUUUUUGGUGGAUUUUUUAUUUUUAUUUUUAUUUUUAAUAUGGAAUUGAUUUUCUAAACAGUUGGAUAUGGUCAAUAUUAGCAAUAGCCUGCAUGAAGGCAGCCAUUACAUGGGAUAACACCUACUUUAUGGCAAUACAAGCUUUUGCAUAUGGUAGUUAACUGAGAAACUAAGUUGAAAGGAGAGUGGUGGUGGUGGUGGUAUUAAUUUUUGUUGAUUUGUUGCUUUUGUUAUUUGUAAUGAAUGACCUUAAAGUCAACGUUACUUACACAUUUUUAUGUGCUUUGGGAGUAGGGGAAAGAUGUGAAUAAUCAGCCAUCCUUUUCUUUUUAUUUACUUAAAGGCCAGUAGUUCUGCAACUGGAACAUAUACAGGAUGCAAUUCAUCAACUUAGAUAAGCAUGUGUUUAUUCCCUACUGGAAUUAUUUGCACUGAAAAUUAAACAUGCAUUCAAAGACUUUGGCUGCAUUGGUAUAUAUAAAAGAGCUUUGGUUCUUAAGUAGGAGAUGCCAAGAUUAUUUGAAUGUAUCCUAACUUAAAAAAAUUAGAACUUGAUCUUCAUAUUUUCCCCUAAAGCAAUAGAAUACUGGCCAAUUGAUUAUUCACUGUAGAUGUGAGGAGUAAUGUGAGAUUGUAUUAAAUUCUAAUGUUACUAGGAAGAUUGAAAAAAGUCAUUUCUAACUUAUUAAAGGAAAUACAAAUAUUAAAAUGACGUAGUACAAAAAAUAUCAAAAGAAAAUUAUAUUUUAAAUGUAUUUCACUGCAGAUUCUUUCUCUCAUCCUCUUAUUCAUUGAUAUCCUCCAUCCAACACUAUUUGCUGACUUGGUCCCACUUCCCCUCCCUCUUUCUUUCUAAUAAGCAUAUUGCUUUUCCACACAUUUAGUAUAUAAGUUAAGUGAAAUGAUUGUGUUAGUUAUUGAUGGUUAUAACAAAUGCAUUAUUAUUCACCUUGUUACAGAGUGAAAGUCAGUGUUUUAUAAUGCUGCAACCACUAUUAAUGUUGUAGUGUCAUUCCUUGUAUUGUGUUCUAAUCCAUUUCCACAGAAUAAUAUUUUUUGUUUAUCUCCCAGUUUGUUGUUUUAUUUUACUGUAUAAGUGCUAUGGUUAAAAGAUUAGAGGAAACUUAAUCAGUCAAUAUUUAAAAAAUAAAUAAAUAAAUGAAAAAAC